rnacentral:rRNA from 1 species
UACGUAGGGUGCGAGCGUUAAUCGGAAUUACUGGGCGUAAAGCGUGCGUAGGCGGUUCGUUAUGUCUGCUGUGAAAGCCCCGGGCUUAACCUGGGAAUGGCAGUGGAAACUGGCGGGCUUGAGUGUGGCAGGAGGGGGGUGGAAUUCCGCGUGUAGCAGUGAAAUGCGUAGAUAUGCGGAGGAACACCGAUGGCGAAGGCAGCAGCUGGGCGACACCUGACGCUGAGGCGCGAAAGCGUGGGUAGCAAACAGG